rnacentral:rRNA from 1 species
GUGUUGCAGGGGAGACUGGAAUUCCUGGUGUAGCGGUGAAAUGCGCAGAUAUCAGGAGGAACACCGGUGGCGAAGGCGGGUCUCUGGGCAACAACUGACGCUGAGGAGCGAAAGCGUGGGGAGCGAACAGGAUUAGAUACCCUGGUAGUCCACGCCGUAAACGUUGGGCGCUAGGUGUGGGGCUCAUUCCACGAGUUCCGUGCCGCAGCUAACGCAUUAAGCGCCCCGCCUGGGGAGUACGGCCGCAAGGCUAAAACUCAAAGGAAUUGACGGGGGCCCGCACAAGCGGCGGAGCAUGUUGCUUAAUUCGAUGCAACGCGAAGAACCUUACCUAGGCUUGACAUGCACGGAAAUCCUCUAGAGAUGGUGGGUCCGUAAGGGCCGUGCACAGGUGGUGCAUGGUUGUCGUCAGCUCGUGUCGUGAGAUGUUGGGUUAAGUCCCGCAACGAGCGCAACCCUCGCUCUAUGUUGCCAGCACGUCAUGGUGGGGACUCAUAGGAGACUGCCGGGGUCAACUCGGAGGAAGGUGGGGAUGACGUCAAAUCAUCAUGCCCCUUAUGUCUAGGGCUGCAAACAUGCUACAAUGGCCGGUACAAAGGGCUGCGAUACCGCGAGGUGGAGCGAAUCCCAAAAAGCCGGUCUCAGUUCGGAUUGGGGUCUGCAACUCGACCCCAUGAAGUUGGAGUCGCUAGUAAUCG